CUUGGGGGGAGGAGGUGGAAGAGGGUGGAUGUGGGGGAAGGUAUUUUUAGUUUGUUUUCUUUGUUUCUCACUUCUCUAGCUGUUAGUAAUAGGUAAUAAUUUUUUCUAAUCUCUUUAUGCUGAGUCUGUUUUACCUGUGACAAUAAUUGUUGAGUCACCUCCCUGUCCUUAUCUCAACCCUUGAGCCCUUUUCAUUGUAUUUUCAUCCCCUUUCCCUUUGAGGAGGUGGAGUGAGAGAGCAGCUUUGGUGGAGUUUGGCUGCCCGCCUGAGUAAAACUGCUACACUGGUGUCCAUAACUAUAGCAGAAAAAAAGGUGACUUGGUCGAUUUGGACAAAUUACUGGAGCAAUGAGGGUUCAGCCUUGCUCAACAUCCUGCCCAGAAGAAAAUGCACAGACAUACUUAUGGAUUCAACCUUGCUUUUGACGGUUUG
rnacentral:lncRNA from 1 species